CCCUCCUGCAGACCCCUGGUGUCAUACAGCCGCAACUGCUCCUUCACACCUCGGUCCGUCUCCACCGAUGCCAAGUACACAUCUUCCAUUGUGGCACCCUCUUCUAAACCUGUUUUAAAACAAGCGGGAAGGGUCAGCUGCCGUUUCCCAAACUCCAACCACCCAGUGUACCAGCUCUGUGCCAAACACUGCAAAUGGGCCUGCCCAAACAUACCCUUAGGGAAGAACAGCCAAGGAACACCAGAGAGGCAAGUACUGACAUCUUGAGCCUACUCCUCUGCUUCAUGCUGGGCUGGAUUGUACUGCAGAAGCAGGAGCCAAAGGAGUAGUUCUGGAAAUGAAUGUGCCUUGGUGGAACAACUAACCAACACGUGAAACCAAGCCAAAAAGGGAAGAGGAUGUUUGUAUGCAAGCAAAGUUGCGUGCUAUAUUUACCCAAACACAUAGUGAGCUUUUUCCAUCCCUUAGGGAUUUAACAUGACUCAGAUUUGCUAAUAGGAGCGAGCUCAUUUACUGCAGGGUAAGAGCAUGCACAAGGUAUCAAGCUCCCAUAUAUCUCACCUGCUCCAUGGUAACUAUCUGCAUACCGGCUCUCCUUCCUUCCCCUCCCCACAGUAAAUGGGAGGCAAUAUGAGGAGUGCCAGCAUCUGACCAUGUAAGGACUUCAUCCAUGACAAGCCAGGGAGACACGAAGGAGCAAACUUUCAUAGGAAAAACCCUGCAGUGCUACUGGGCCUGCAGCACUGUUCCCAACACGCAGCCAGGAGCACGGGCUCAAAGCCAAGGCUCAGUAUAGCAGCGUGAAACCUCGGAGGACACUAAUCACUUCCUGCAGCAGCUGUGCCACAGCUCCUUUGUGAAGGCAAGCCAGCUUUCUGCGAGCCAGGAGCAGGCUCGCUAGCACUGACAGGCUUGUGGCUCGCUAUUAGCCCUGGAAAGCAAUGGCAGAGCCACGGGGAAAGACAGCAGAGCUCCAGGGAGAGGAGGGGAAGGUCUGUGGUGCCCAGCAUUAAGCCAGGCAGAGCAUCAGGGAGUGACUGGGGACAAGCACGCGGCCUCCCCCGUUAUGUCAGUGAGCAUCCCGCCGUUACGCAAUGCCACCGCAGCCACGCUCGGGAGCAGCCAGAAAUAGCUGCUGGGCCUCAGCAUGGGGAGCAGCAGAGGGCAGCAGGGAUAGCGCAGCACCGAGGGUCACCUGGCCGGGCAGGCGAGGGGCAGGCCAAGGGAAAACUCACAGCCUGCAGGCAUUGCAGCUCACGCUGAGAGCUACAGGGUGCUGUGCAGGAUGCUGGUAGGAUGCUGGAAGCAGGUGUUGCUGCAACAUUAGGGGAAAUCCUCCUUUGAAACAAGGGUAUUAGCAUACAGCUCAGUGUCACGCUUUGCAAAGCAAAUUCCUCCUAUCCAUGAAUUUUAAAGGCACAGUGCCUGCCAAGCAGCCAGCUAGAAAUCCUAAUAUUUAUCCAACAGCACACCCCAGCAUUGAAUUCACCAGCCUAGGAAACAGACACUGGACGCCCUCUGUCAAAGGCCUGAGAUCCCCCCCCUGCAGGCACCAUUCAUUGCCCUUCAUCUGAUAUCUGGGGGGGGUGAUUCCAUGCUCCCCCUGCACAGCCCUUGGAGCCCAGAACGGAACCUAAAGCAAAGCUGUUUUCCUUCCCAGCACUUUAACUAUGAGCCAAAACCAAACCAAAUUCUAGGAAGGCAUGACAGAAGUCUAAGCAGUCUCUCUAAUCAUCAUAUCAUAUCCAUUUACUUUUCAGGCACCAACAGCAUCUGAGGCACUGGCACAGGCUGCCCAGAGAAGCUGCGGAUGCCCCAUCCCUGGAGAAGCCCAAGGCCAGGUUGGAUGGGGCCCCGGGCAGCCUGAGCUGGUGGUGGCAGCCCCAUGGCAUGGGGUUGGAACUGCGUGGGCUUUAAGGUGCCUUCUAGCCUGAGCCAUUCUGUGAUUCUAUAACUCUAUGAUCUUUCAGUGAACAAUGUAUUUCUUGUUUGCAUAUUUGCGUAAAUGGGCAGUGAGCACACCA